GAUUCCUGCAGCAGCGUCUUCACAGGUCUGAUUGACAACCCAACGGUCCAGAACGCUGCUGCUGGAGUUCUGACUAGAACCAGGAGGAUAGAGACACCACCCAGUUCUACACCACUCAGUUCUACACCACCUAGCUCUACACCACCUGGUUCUAAGGUUGAUCAGAUUCUCUUUGCUGCAUUUUACUGAUAAAAACUGAGAUAAAUGUAACUUUUCUAUAUCAAAGCUAAAUGCACGUUGACGUUGCCGUUGCCGUUACUGGAAACAGCAACAGCUGGUUCUACAAAUUAUUGACCUGCUGAACAUUGUAUUUUUUUGUGAAAAAUGUUGAGUUUUGUGUAUUUUCUUCCAGUUUCAUGUGUGCUUGUUGUUUGUGCUGCAGCAGCUGCAUCUUAUCUCACAGAAUGUGCUGAACAAUAAGUUGAUGCUGCUCCUCUGGAGAAAACGCCCUGAAAGCCGCUGGCUCGGCGCCGUCACAGGAUGACAGAAUCAAAUAUUCGGCACAACGCCGCCGCUCACUGAGCUGCAGCCGGCAGCCACUGCACUCGUCCCACAAACUCGUUUUACUCACUCGUGGAAAAGUUUUGAUCUGCUGGAGGAAAACGGAAAUGAGACAAAAAAGAUGAUUUUUCCCAGUAAACUGAGUAACCCAGUAACGGUGCCUUUUAACUGGUUUAUCAUUUUCUAAUGAUGUUUUAUUUUGGGAAAUUCCUCCAACAUGUUCAGCGCUGAGCCAGCAGUAAAACUUUCCCUCUGAUAAAUCAAUCUUAAUGUUUUACUUCCUUAUAAUAUCACUUUCUUUAAAUUUCUACAUUUAUCUGCAGUUUUCUGAUUCGCUGGUUGAAUCUGUGAUAUUUUUCAUCUCAUAAUGAUCUUGUGUUGAAUAAAGGUAAUAAAACCAGAUCAGCUCUCUGCUGCCUCUGAUCCCUAAAUGACGGUCAUGUCAGCUUCGUCAGGUGCUGCAGCUCAAACACAGAGCUGCAUGGAGUCACAACAUUAUGACUCAUAUAAUUACAGUGAUUCAUGCUGCUGGACUCGGGUUCUGAACGGCAAACUUCUGUUUUCAAACAGAACCAUCAGAUUCAUAAAUUAGAGGGUAAAAUAGCUGCACAGGCUAAAUGUUGGUUCAUUAAAUCAUCUAAUGCUGUUAUCAUGUCAACUGAGGGAACAACCAUAAUAAAACAUAACACCAUC